UCAUAUAUCAAAUGCUAUGAUGUACUCUUUCUAUUUGGUUGCCUUAAGAGUAUGGAGCAAAUGGCAAAACCGCUUGAUAAUAAU
rnacentral:ncRNA from 2 species